ensembl:lncRNA novel transcript
CUGUUCGGUGCCAAGUAGAAUAAUUUCCACCACUUUCCCUGUUCUUCAGUACUACUGCAUAGCCAAGCUGGUUUAUUGUUGCAUAUAAAGUCUGGGCUGUCUUCCGAAGUGCUCUGUUUCAUCAACAGCCGAGGAGAGGAGGGAGUGCUAGGUGGACCAGAUGACUGCAAAGCGUGAGGACCUCGCUUCUCAUGCUGCUUAGAAAGCACAUAGGGGUCCUUGGAGAAGGACUCCCCUGACGCGCCUUUCUUCUCCUCAAAGCCCUCCAUUGGCAGGGGCAAUGUGGGUGAAGGAUGUAAACUGGAAAGGGCUGGCGGCAUGGAGUGAACCAUCUGGAUCCCACCAACGG